CCACGAGCAAGCCGACACCGAAGAACAGCCGGAGUGCCCAGGGAUUUGUUUUAAAGGCAAAUUAUUAGACAAUCAAAAUACGUGGAUCCAGUGGUUGUGAAGAACGGUGCCAGUGAAGAAGUGGUCAUCUCUCGUUGCUUUCGUACUGCUUCAUGAACGUAUACUGAAUGUAUCCUGAGUGCUAUCUAUCCGGUAUACCUUCAGUAUACGUAACAGGAGGCGGUACAUUCAUCUUUAAUCAGGCAACAUUCCAACGCGAACACUUGAACUCGAUUAGCAGCUGCCUUCAGUGAAAGUGCUCCAUUUGCUACAUUUCUGUGAAAUCAAAGUCUUAUCGCGAGUAGUCUAUAUCAGCAAAUUAGGUUUUUUUUCAUCGACGUCAGUUGUGGAUGC